GAUGAACGCUGGCGGCGUGCCUAAUACAUGCAAGUCGAGCGAACGGACGAGAAGCUUGCUUCUCUGUUGUUAGCGGCGGACGGGUGAGUAACACGUGGAUAACCUACCUAUAAGACUGGGAUAACUUCGGGAAACCGGAGCUAAUACCGGAUAAUAUUUUGAACCGCAUGGUUCAAAAGUGAAAGACGGUCUUGCUGUCACUUAUAGAUGGAUCCGCGCUGCAUUAGCUAGUUGGUAAGGUAACGGCUUACCAAGGCAACUAUGCAUAGCCGACCGGAGAGGGUGAUCGGCCACACUGGAACUGAGACACGGUCCAGACUCCUACGGGAGGCAGCAGUAGGGAAUCUUCCGCAAUGGGCGAAAGCCUGACGGAGCAACGCCGCGUGAGUGAUGAAGGUCUUCGGAUCGUAAAACUCUGUUAUUAGGGAAGAACAUAUGUGUAAGUAACUGUGCACAUCUUGACGGUACCUAAUCAGAAAGCCACGGCUAACUACGUG
rnacentral:rRNA from 1 species